UGAUUAAUUGCUUAUUUAUUCAUUUAUGAUGUUUAUUGAAAUUUUCGCAUUUUGAGACGAUUUAAUCGGUAUUAGUUCAGGAUAGCGGAUCGAUAUUUAAUCAAAAAAUUUAAUGUUUCUAUUAUUAGAAACAUUAAUGAGUUAAUAUUUAGCGUUUUGGGAAUUUUCCGAGUAAUUAAAAUUAGACCGGAAAUAUGAGACAUUGAGUUAUUGGAGGAUUUUAUUAGUAUUUAUUUUACUAUACUAUUUUAUAUUAUUUGGUGUGUUAAUUAUUUAUUUAAUUAUUUGAUGUGUUAAUUAUUUAUUUAAUUAUUUGGUGAUAUAAUAAUUAAAUUAAUUAAUUGACUAUGUGUAUAUUUGUAUUGGUUUAAUUUAUUUGAACUAAAUAGAGAUAUUAUAACACUAUGUCUUAUUGGGCCUAAUAAUUAAAUUAAGGGUAUUAUUCUUAAGCCCAAAUAAUAUAAUAUGAUAGUAAGAAGUGAAGGGAGUUAGGGUGACAUAUCAUUUUCUUUGGGUCAUUUACUGAUAGAAGAAAAGUGGAGAAAGAAAAGAGGAAGAAAAAUAGAAAAGGGGAAGAACAAGGGAGAAGCUAGGGUUUCCAGAAAAAUUGAAGAGGUUCUGGAGUUAGUAGUUCGCGUGUGAUCUUAGUCGGAGUUUCUUCUGAGUUUUUGGAGAUUAGGUAGUAAGUCGAUGCUCUGGUCAUGUAACACUGGGUAGACUAGUUAUUUGAACUCAUGUUUCUAUUCGGUUAUGUAUUACGCUUGAUUUGAGAACCUGUUAUGUUAUUACUUGUUGUUUGAUAGGCUCUUAAGCCAAAUAUUCCGAAUUAUGUUUUAAUUUAUGUUGAUAUGAUUAUUGAGACUUGAUCAUGGUAUGGGACAUGGAUCAUUUUAUGAAACACAUGAGUAUUGGUAGUUUUCGCUGUGAAUGCAUAUUCUAGAUAAAGUAUGAUUAAUUGAGAAGUGUUAUUUGAAAUGACCAGGUGUAUCAUAUAUUGUAAGUAAAUGCUGUCGGUUUUAAAAGGCUUCUAGUUUUGAAAAGUCGAUGUGACGCCCUUUUGAAUUAUAUGCAUGCUUAUUCUCUGAUUAUAUGCUUAUUUAUUUUGGGGUAUAAAAGGGGUGUUACAUUAGUGGUAUCAGAGCAUGGUCGACCAGUUGGUCAAGGUUAUUAAUGUCUUUUAUCCUGUUGUAUUCGAUUCGUGUAUCUAACACGAUCGAUACUGUUUUGUCUGGUUAUUUGGUUAUUUAGGACGAUGGCUGCGGGAAGGAAUAUUGACAUUAAUGAUGAGGCAAUGAUGAGGUGGACUGGUGCGAUUGGACAAGCGCCGCAAGAUAAUGUCGGUUAUGGAGGAAAGGAUGAGUUCUGUGCUUUUUGAGACUUUCAAAGGUGCAAACCGCCGAUCUUUGAAGGAGGGUAUGGACCGGACAAAGCGCACGCAUGGAUGAGAGAAAUUGAGAAGAUCUUUCAAGUCGUGAGUUAUACUGAUGUACAGAAGGUACAGUUUGGUACUCACAUGGUGACAAAAGAAGCUGACAUUUGGUGGAGUAAUACUGGAAGGAGAUUUGAAAUAGAAGGUAUUGAAGUUACUUGGACUCUUUUCCGUGAUGCAUUUUUGGGAAACUAUUUUCCAGAAGAUGUGCGUGGAAAGAAAGAAGUGAGGUUUCUACAGUUGAAACGAGGAGGAGAACAGUUCCGUGAGAAAUCGUAUGAUGACAUGAGGGAACAAUCUGGUCUUGGCAAGAAGCCAAGUGGGGGAGGAGCUUCUACUCCGAUUAAGUGCUACAGGUGUGGCGAGACGGGUCAUAAAACUGUUGAUUGUGGAGUUGGUUCGAGUAGGAUUUGCUACAGUUGUGGUGAGCAAGGACACAAUUGCGCCAUAUGCGAUAAGCCAAAGAAGGAGCAAGCGAAAGGAAAAGUGUCUGCGUUGUCUGGUGCUGAGACUAAUACUAAGGAUAAGAUAAUCUGAGGUACGUGCCUUAAUAUUGAUAAUUGUGCAACGCAUUAUUUUAUUCUUUGGAUUGUGCUAUAAGAUUAAAUCUUGUUUUAUCUGUUAUGCAUAGAAGUAUAGUUAUUGAUACAACUGUUGUGGCUUUGUUUCUACUUCUUCUGCGUGUUUGAAUUAUCCGUUGAACAUCUUCAGUAGAGACUUUGAGAAUUGAUUUAGUUUGUUUUCUAUUGGACUAAGUUGAUGAGGAUUUUGGGUGUGAACUUUUUGGGGUCGAACUAAGUAAUGGAAACUGUAAGAGAGAUUGUGGAUCUCGGUGUUGUAAGUGAUUCUGAGUGCGAGUUCCGAAGGAACACUAUUAUAGUUUAGUAACGGUGGUUUAUGUUUCAUUAUGAUUGUCGACUGUCUAUUGACAAAUUGAGGACUUGAUCACCCUUAAUCUAUUGUUGAUAGGAGACGAUAUCGUAUUGAACGAGAUGGACUUGUCUUACUAACUUGGUAGCGUGUAAAGCGACUAAGGAGGAGUUGGAGAGUAGAUUUGAGGAAUUGUUUGAGAAGAGGUUCAUUGCCUGAGUGUUUAGUCGUAGAGUUACGUCUGUUUAUCGAGUAAGAAGAAAGAAGGUUCUAUGAGGUAAUGUUUCUUGAAGAUAUUUGAUUCUAAGAGCGACGAUGAUCAUGUGGAACAUUUAAGGAUUAUGUUAUCGGUGAUGAAAGAGAAGGAGGUCAUGUAAAGCUUUCUGAAUAUGAGUUUUGGUUGGAAUAAGUGAAUUUUCUUGGAUAUGGGAUUUCGAGUUGAGGUGUGUUGAUGCAGAUGUCGAUAAGUGGUAGUUUACGCUUCAAGGUAACUUAAAGUACAUAAGAGGAAUUAUUCAAUGUAUGUAUUGGAGUUGUUUGCCAUUGUGUUUGUUUUGGGAAUGUAAGAGGCAUUGUUUGUUUGGGUCAAGGUUUGAUGUGUUGAGUGAUCACAAGAGUUGAAUAUGAGGUAAACAAGACGAGCAGAGUUUUGAAGGAUUUUAAUCUUUGGCUUGAAUUACCAUCCUGGAAAAAGUGAAGGUUGUGGCCGAUGCAUUGAGUAGGAAAUAAUUUUAUAAGUUAUGUUGAGGAUUCAAGAAUUAGAAAUCGUUGGAACGAUUUAGAGGGUUGAGUUUGGUUGUGAAGCGACGUCUUCGUGUGUUAAGUUUGUAUGUUGAAGCCUACUUGGAAUAUUUUGACAAGAUUUAAAAAGGUUAGAAAUUGGAUUUUUCAAUUGGUGGACAAGAUGAUAUUGAUUAAUCAAGGAAAAAAAAUUAGUAACUUUUGGAUUGUCGAGAAUGGUGUCAUGAGAUGUUGUGAUCGAGUUUGUAUCCCUGAUGGUUAGAAUUCGGACAAAGAGAAUUUUGGGUGAGGAACAUCGUAAUAAUUUGAGUAUUAAUCAUGGUGUUAAUGAUGUAUCGAGAUUUGAGGAAAAUGUUUAGUGGUAAAGUAUGAAGAGGGAUAUGGCGAAAUUGUGUAUUUAAGUUGGACUUGUCAGAAACUGUUUAGUUGGUGCAACAGUUAUCCUAUUCGAGUGGAAGUGAGAUAGUAUCUCUAUGGAUUUUGUUUCGGGUUGCUGAGAACAUCGAGUAAUUGUGAAGUGAUUUGGGUCAUUGUGGAAAGGUUGACGAGAUGCACUUAUUUUAUUCCAGUGAGGAUGGGUUAUCAGAUGGAGAGACUUGCUAAGUUUGAAAUCGAGAGAACGACGUGUUUGCAUGGUAUUUCAUUCGAGUAUUGGAGUGGCAUCCUUGAAAGCUUGUAUGGUUGAAGAGGUGGAACAUUUUGUAUUGGUAUGAAUCGGGAGAGAGUAAGUGUGGGUGUCGAAAUGGUUGUGUCGAUUGAAUUUUCGAGGACGAAAAUAUUCUAAGUGGGGGAGAGUUGUAACAUCCCGAUUUUUAUUAAUAUUUUAUUAAUUAUAUUAGUAAUUAUAUUAUUUGGUGUUUUUAAUGAUUAAUUGCUUAUUUAUUCAUUUAUGAUGUUUAUUGAAAUUUUCGCAUUUUGAGACGAUUUAAUCGGUAUUAGUUCAGGAUAGCGGAUCGAUAUUUAAUCAAAAAAUUUAAUGUUUCUAUUAUUAGAAACAUUAAUGAGUUAAUAUUUAGCGUUUUGGGAAUUUUCCGAGUAAUUAAAAUUAGACCGGAAAUAUGAGACAUUGAGUUAUUGGAGGAUUUUAUUAGUAUUUAUUUUACUAUACUAUUUUAUAUUAUUUGGUGUGUUAAUUAUUUAUUUAAUUAUUUGAUGUGUUAAUUAUUUAUUUAAUUAUUUGGUGAUAUAAUAAUUAAAUUAAUUAAUUGACUAUGUGUAUAUUUGUAUUGGUUUAAUUUAUUUGAACUAAAUAGAGAUAUUAUAACACUAUGUCUUAUUGGGCCUAAUAAUUAAAUUAAGGGUAUUAUUCUUAAGCCCAAAUAAUAUAAUAUGAUAGUAAGAAGUGAAGGGAGUUAGGGUGACAUAUCAUUUUCUUUGGGUCAUUUACUGAUAGAAGAAAAGUGGAGAAAGAAAAGAGGAAGAAAAAUAGAAAAGGGGAAGAACAAGGGAGAAGCUAGGGUUUCCAGAAAAAUUGAAGAGGUUCUGGAGUUAGUAGUUCGCGUGUGAUCUUAGUCGGAGUUUCUUCUGAGUUUUUGGAGAUUAGGUAGUAAGUCGAUGCUCUGGUCAUGUAACACUGGGUAGACUAGUUAUUUGAACUCAUGUUUCUAUUCGGUUAUGUAUUACGCUUGAUUUGAGAACCUGUUAUGUUAUUACUUGUUGUUUGAUAGGCUCUUAAGCCAAAUAUUCCGAAUUAUGUUUUAAUUUAUGUUGAUAUGAUUAUUGAGACUUGAUCAUGGUAUGGGACAUGGAUCAUUUUAUGAAACACAUGAGUAUUGGUAGUUUU